CUGCUGCCGACAGCUUCAGGCACAUCUCCUUGUAGAAAGGCGGUCGUUUUCCUUUGGUGAAUACCCAGGAGUGAACCUGCUGAUCUUGGCUUGCUCCUCAAAUCCUGCUGUUCGGAAAUAAUUGACAACGUCCGUCACGGCCCAGUCUGCAGGAUCGGGAGGCCUCCCAUUUUCCAUGGAACUGCAAAAUACAAAUCCUGUCAGAGUGUGGCGUGUGUGCAGGCCUUCUGAUCCUGUGGCAAGUGUCUACAAGCUUAACGGAAGUCCUUCAGGACAAAGACCUCCACCUUUCCAACUAGGAAUGCAUUUGGGAGCAAAAGACAGAGCAACCCCUGUCUAUGUGCCUCCCAGUGUUCUGAGAGGACAAUGACCACCAACAGACUGUGCCCGUACAGCUGCAAGAUCCUCCAAAAGCUGGGAAGAGCAAAACCUGCACUGUGACAGGCCAUACCUAGACCGUUUCAUCUGAAGCAAGGUCUGAAAGACCAUCAGGGGUUGACUAUAAAGACAUCAGGUGAGGAUUAUUCCAAGAUCUGUGGUAGGGAUGCAGCCAGCCA